GAUGAACGCUAGCGACAGACCUAACACAUGCAAGUCGAGGGGCAGCACAUGAGUAGCAAUACGAUGGUGGCGACCGGCGCACGGGUGAGUAACACGUAUGCAACCUGCCUGUAAGAGGGGAAUAACCCGGAGAAAUUCGGACUAAUACCGCAUAAUACCACGAGACUGCAUGGUUUUGUGGUUAAACAUUUAUGGCUUACAGAUGGGCAUGCGUAUGAUUAGAUAGUUGGUAGGGUAACGGCCUACCAAGUCUACGAUCAUUAGGGGUUCUGAGAGGAAGGUCCCCCACACUGGUACUGAGACACGGACCAGACUCCUACGGGAGGCAGCAGUGAGGAAUAUUGGUCAAUGGGCGAGAGCCUGAACCAGCCAAGUCGCGUGAAGGAAGAAGGUUCUAUGGAUUGUAAACUUCUUUUGCAGGGGAAUAAAGGACGGUACGUGUACUGUUUUGUAUGUACCCUGAGAAUAAGGAUCGGCUAACUCCGUG
rnacentral:rRNA from 1 species